UGACGGAAUUGAAAAUACAACCCACAAUACAUUUGCAAAGUUAACGUGGAUAGUUUAGAUAUCGCAUUUUUUAGAAAAAACGAUUAUGAAUCCACGAUAGCUUUGCUUCCAAUAAUUUUAUUUGUCAGAACUGACAUUAAAUUUAGCAAAAAGUCAAAAUGCAUUGGAAUGAUCUGAUUCUCAUUUUAUGGCGAAUUUGGGAAAUAUGUUUCUGCCGUUGAGCGUUUGUAAAGACAAUGUUUCCCGAAUAGAAAAGCUCCAAAAAGGCUUGAAUAACUAAAGUGCUUUCCAACGGUAAAGAGACAAAUAACCUUAAAACUUGUGUUUCCUUUCUUGUCAGUUUCUUUGUGUCAGUCACGCGAUAACUAUGUUUUAUUAAUUUUAAAACUCAUAAUCAAAAUCCAUGAAGCCUAUGCAAAUGUAUUGCUGGCUGCAGUUCAAAUUUGAAAUGAACCUGACCGUUCUUAAGGCACUUUUUUGCAAGGAAUCUAAAUCUGUCAUCGUGUUUUCCAAGACGCUCUUGAUAUCAGAGUUACAACACUCAACCUGGAUUUUCUUAUGGACGCCAUAUUUGAUUUAUGUAUUUUUGAAAAGUCUUUUUGUUCCUGAUUACUACUAUCUAUCACACGAUAUGACUCAUUAGAAAGAAAAGUUAAUUUUUCUCUUCCUUUUGGACUUAUAUUUUUUUCUGCGUUUUAAAUUCCAUCACAUUGGCGGUUUUACUUUUACUUUUUUGACAACGACGUCAGUUUGACAAAUGGGUUUACGCAAGUUAAAUAACAAAGAUCUCAAAAAAAACAGAUUUAAGAUAAAAAAUACAAAAUCAAUUUUUAACAAAAACAAUCAUUAUUCAGUUAAUUAAUUAGUUGUCAAAGUGACAUCGUUGUCAAAAAAAUAAAACCGCCAAUGUGAUGAGAUGUAAACUGCAAAAAAGAAUUCCAAAACCAAGGAAACAGGUCAGUUUUUAACAGGGCCGGAUUACUUACUUUCUUUUUGUCUAAAAUACUUGAAAUAUUUUAAUAGUUUUUGAUGCAGUUGUUAUUAAAAUCAAGUAUUUUAAGAAAUUUAAAAAAGCCAGGUGGUUAUUAACAAGCUAUUAUUAAAUAAAGCUGAUUUUUUUUAAUAAUAGCUUGGUAAAACUCUACCACUACUUUGGUUUUAAGUACGGUCCUGUUUUAUUCUAGUGGAUGCAGCAACACUUGCAAAGGAACGUGACAUUUAUUGAGGAUUACAAAUUCAUUCCCUUAUAAUAAUGUGUCAUAAAAUUUUUAGUAGGUCUUAGGAAAACGAUUUUUCAUAAAUCCGACACACGCCUGAGUGAAUCUUUUAGUUUCUCUACUCGUACUGUAAUAUACUAUAUUACAUUCACUGCUGUCACUGUUUUGUCACUGACACUGAAUUAAUGCAUUCGAGGUUUUGGUCAUAGAAAACUAUUCUCUGUUCAUAAUUUAAAGAAACACCCAACCGGCAAUAAGGCUCAAAAAUUCAACCGGCAACGUUGUUUAGUUAUAUGUAUUUUCUAGUGGGAACGUAUGUGUCAAAAAAAUAAGGUUAUGUUUUCUUUUUCACAAAGUUUGUUGACCAACAGAACUCAAAGAAGUCUUAUAUGGAUUUAAUAUCUUAGAUGGUAUUGGGCGACAUACGUCGUUGCGGUUUUUGGUUUUUCCGGUUUUAAAUUUGUAGCACGGAGAAUUGAAAAUUGGUUCAAAAGGACCACCGGCAGACACAGAAGCAACUUGUUCUCACCCCGAAGGUUUCAGCAAAAGUUUCAAUGUCCCAUUUGCAUUGUUGUUAUGAUGGUAUGUUGAUAGCGUUAUUUUAUUUGUGAUAAGUUGAUGGUUCUGAAAAGAACCGAUUUUUUUAAAACUUGAAUGUGGAACAAUGCAAAACUAAAAGAAAUUCUCUUUAUUGGAUUCAUCAUGAUCUGAACUUGACCAAGUUGAUGAAGAAUCAGAAUCAGCCAGAUCAAUUAUUAUUGGAGGAAUGUUCAGCUGCAGGUUCAAAUUAGCUGCGCUUUUAUUCCAAUCGUCAGAAAUCAGCUCCUCACAAUGCCUUACGCUGUUGCGCCACUUUCAGGAGUAAAAUUGUUAAGUGCUUCAUGCCAUACUUCACCAACUUUCUCUCUACCAUAACGUGAGGCGCUGAUAUGUUUAUUGUAAAAAGUUUUACAAUAUGCCCAAGCCAGUUCGAUAGGGUUGUACUGGCAGUGGUAUGGAGGAAGUCUUAACACAUCUAUGCCAUGUUGAUUUAAAAGGGUGUCCACUUCAUAUUUAACAGGAGCAUUUUGCACUUUAGGCUGAAUUAACUCCCACAACUGUUUCUUCGUCGCGUUUGUAUUAAAAUGUGGUUUGUCAAGUUUUACUGAAUGGUACGGAGCAUUAUCCAUUACCACUACCGUUUUUUGACCAUCAAAUGGCAGAGCUGGAAUCAAUUGCUCUUCAACCCAAUUUUUAAAAAGAUUACCGUUCAUGGUCUUGUGAUAGUCGCGGUCGUUGAUUUUUGUUUUGAGUAACAUGGAGCACCUAUUUAAGAAACCAGUGAAGCAUCCAGCAUACAGAGCAUCAUUUGUCCACGUUCGAAUUUGGGAACCAUUUUGGAAAAUCCAUGUCUCGUCUAACCAAACAAAAUUAACAUUUGGAUAAUCAGUUUUGUAUUGCAUAUAUCUUUUUAAAAAUCUGAUUCGUUGAGCAGCGAUAUAAGGCUUUUCCAUUAGGAUUUUUCGGUUAUUUUCAAAUUUAUACCUAUACCACAGAAUAAAUAUUAUAACAGAAGCCCCACUCCGCACGAAAUCUUUGAUAUUUCGCCGGUCGCUCCAGUAACCUCGGGUAUUUAAUCCAGUAGUGCACUUAAGAUGUGUGCGUUAAAAUGGGACUAGAGAUGUGGUUUCCAUAUGUAAAAAAAAAUUAACUAAAUCUUAAUGUCAUGUAGGUAUUUACUUAUUCUGUUUCGACUGUAGCUUCAUGUAGUGAACUUAAAUGUAUGUACGUUAAAUAAAAAAUACACGGUUUAAUUUUAUAAGUAGGAACUUCUAAGGGUAAAGAGCUGAAAAAGUUCUCAUCAAUGCAAUGGAAGAAUUAAAACAAUUCAUAACA